GCCGCCUUAGUUCAGCUGGUUAGAACGCUGGUUUGUGGAACCAGAGGUCCCCCGUUCGAUCCGGGGAGGCGGUACCA
rnacentral:tRNA from 1 species